UACGUAGGGGGCAAGCGUUAUCCGGAUUUACUGGGCGUAAAGCGCCCGUAGGCGGCCUGACACGUUGGCCGUGAAAGCUCCUGGCUUAACUGGGAGAGGCCGUUCAAAACUGUCAAGCUAGAGGCUGGAAGAGGAGAGCGGAAUUCCCGGUGUAGUGGUGGAAUGCGUAGAGAUCGGGAGGAACACCAGUGGCGAAAGCGGCUCGCUGGUCCAAAACUGACGCUGAGGGGCGAAAGCGUGGGGAGCGAACGGG
rnacentral:rRNA from 1 species